rnacentral:rRNA from 1 species
CCUACGGGAGGCAGCAGUGAGGAAUAUUGGUCAAUGGCCGAAAGCCUGAACCAGCCAAGCCGCGUGAAGGAUGAAGGUGCUAUGCUUUGUAAACUUCUUUUGUCAGGGAAUAAAAUCAGGCUCGUGUUCCUGUUUGUGUGUACUUUAUGAAUAAGCAUCGGCUAACUCCGUGCCAGCAGCCGCGGUAAUACGGAGGAUGCGCACGUUAUCCGGAUUUAUUGGGUUUAAAGGGUGCGUGGGGGGUCUGUUAAGUCAGCGUGAAAAGCCUGGGGCUCAACCCAGACGAGCCGUUGAAACUGGCUGGCUUGAGAAGUGGAGAGGUAUGCGGAAUGCGUGGUGUAGCGGUGAAAUGCAUAGAUAUUACGCAGAACUCCGAUUGCGAAGGCAGCAUAC